GCUUGCUCCUUUGACGUUAGCGGCGGACGGGUGAGUAACACGUGGGUAACCUACCUAUAAGACUGGAAUAACUCCGGGAAACCGGGGCUAAUGCCGGAUAACAUAUCGAACCGCAUGGUUCGAUAGUGAAAGACGGUCUUGCUGUCACUUAUAGAUGGACCCGCGCCGUAUUAGCUAGUUGGUGAGGUAACGGCUCACCAAGGCAACGAUACGUAGCCGACCUGAGAGGGUGAUCGGCCACACUGGAACUGAGACACGGUCCAGACUCCUACGGGAGGCAGCAGUAGGGAAUCUUCCGCAAUGGGCGAAAGCCUGACGGAGCAACGCCGCGUGAGUGAUGAAGGUCUUCGGAUCGUAAAGCUCUGUUGUUAGGGAAGAACAAAUGUGUAAGUAACUGUGCACAUCUUGACGGUACCUAACCAGAAAGCCACGGCUAACUACGUGCCAGCAGCCGCGGUAAUACGUAGGUGGCAAGCGUUAUCCGGAAUUAUUGGGCGUAAAGCGCGCGUAGGCGKUUUUUUAAGUCUGAUGUGAAAGCCCCACGGCUCAACCCGUGGAGGGUCAUUGGAAACUGGAAAACUUGAGUGCAGAAGAGGAAAGUGGAAUUUCCAUGUGUAGCGGUGAAAUGCGCAGAGAUAUGGAGGAACACCAGUGGCGAAGGCGGCUUUCUGGUCUGUAACUGACGCUGAUGUGCGAAAGCGUGGGGAUCAAACAGGAUUAGAUACCCUGGUAGUCCACGCCGUAAACGAUGAGUGCUAAGUGUUAGGGGGUUUCCGCCCCUUAGUGCUGCAGCUAACGCAUUAAGCACUCCGCCUGGGGAGUACGGUCGCAAGACUGAAACUCAAAGGAAUUGACGGGGACCCGCACAAGCGGUGGAGCAUGUGGUUUAAUUCGAAGCAACGCGAAGAACCUUACCAAAUCUUGACAUCUUUUGACCACUCUAGAGAUAGAGUUUUCCUCUUCGGAGGACAAAAUGACAGGUGGUGCAUGGUUGUCGUCAGCUCGUGUCGUGAGAUGUUGGGUUAAGUCCCGCAACGAGCGCAACCCUUGAGCUUAGUUGCCAUCAUUAAGUUGGGCACUCUAAGUUGACUGCCGGUGACAAACCGGAGGAAGGUGGGGAUGACGUCAAAUCAUCAUGCCCCUUAUGAUUUGGGCUACACACGUGCUACAAUGGACAAUACAAAGGGCAGCAAAACCGCGAGGUCAAGCAAAUCCCAUAAAGUUGUUCUCAGUUCGGAUUGUAGUCUGCAACUCGACUACAUGAAGCUGGAAUCGCUAGUAAUCGUAGAUCAGCAUGCUACGGUGAAUACGUUCCCGGGUCUUGUACACACCGCCCGUCACACCACGAGAGUUUGUAACACCCGAAGCCGGUGGAGUAACCAUUUGGAGCUA
rnacentral:rRNA from 1 species